rnacentral:lncRNA from 1 species
GAGUAUAUCAUAUCAUCAGGGUCAAAAGCAAGAGUAUCAUAUAUCAUACUUUUUCCCUAUCUUUUCCUUUGCCCUUGUUCUUACCUACAAGACAAGGAGAAAGAGAGCAAUCAGUUAACACUUGGAAUCAAGCUUCCAGUCAGGAACUGACUGCCUGGAACCCUUUGCAUGGUUACUUACCUGGCAUUGCUCUCGUGUACUCAUCUUCAACAUCUUAUGCUUCCAGAAAAGAUACCACAUCUGCCUAAGGAACAUAUAAGGCAAGUGAGAAGGAUACAAGGAAACAUGUGGAGACAAGUGUAACGGAACAUGUGCCGAUACAUCCACUACUUUGUCAACAACAAAACUAUCCCAUAUCAUCAGGGUCGAACGUACUCUAGAUUUGAUGGACUUGUUUUGACCCUCAAAUUCUUGAGUCGGCCUUAUACUCUGGAGGAAACCAGAAAACCCUCAAACCCAGUUCAAGAAUAAGCUUGUGGAAAGUUACUUCUUUAUAUCAUAUCUUCUCCAUUU